GCCCGGUUAGCUCAAUCGGUAGAGCGUGAGACUCUUAAUCUCAAGGUUGCGGGUACGUAGCAUGUUCAACUUACGAAUGUGUCA